AUUGAACGCUGGCGGCAGGCCUAACACAUGCAAGUCGAGCGAGCGGCGGACGGGUGAGUAAUGUAUGGGGACUGCCCGAUAAAGGGGGAUAACUAAUGGAAACGGUGGCUAAUACCGCAUACUAUCGGAUAAACCAUCAGGGAUUAGCUAGUAGGUGGGGUAAAGGCGCACCUAGGCGACGAUCUCUAUCUGGUCUGAGAGGAUGAUCAGCCACACUGGGACUGAGACACGGUCCAGACUCCUACGGAGGCAGCAGGGGGGAAUAUUGCACAAUGUGCGCAAGCCUGAUGCAGCCAUGCCGCGUGUAUGAAGAAGGCCUUAGGGUUGUAAAGUACUUUCAGCGGGGAGGCGUUACCCGCAGAAGAAGCACCGUCUAACUCCGUGCCAGCAGCCGCGGUAAUAC
rnacentral:rRNA from 1 species